rnacentral:tRNA from 1 species
GGUGCAUUAGCUCAGUGGUAGAGCAGAGGAUUCAUAUUCCUCGUGUCACAUGUUCGAAUCAUGUAUGCACCU